UACACAUGCAAGUCGAACGGUAACAGGCCUUCGGGCGCUGACGAGUGGCGAACGGGUGAGUAAUGCAUCGGAACGUGCCCAGUCGUGGGGGAUAACUAUCCGAAAGGAUAGCUAAUACCGCAUACGAUCUGCGGAUGAAAGCGGGGGACCUUCGGGCCUCGCGCGAUUGGAGCGGCCGAUGUCAGAUUAGGUAGUUGGUGGGGUAAAGGCUCACCAAGCCAACGAUCUGUAGCUGGUCUGAGAGGACGACCAGCCACACUGGGACUGAGACACGGCCCAGACUCCUACGGGAGGCAGCAGUGGGGAAUUUUGGACAAUGGGCGCAAGCCUGAUCCAGCAAUGCCGCGUGCAGGAAGAAGGCCUUCGGGUUGUAAACUGCUUUUGUACGGAACGAAACGGCUCUGGUUAAUACCCGGGGCUAAUGACGGUACCGUAAGAAUAAGCACCGGCUAACUACGUGCCAGCAGCCGCGGUAAUACGUAGGGUGCAAGCGUUAAUCGGAAUUACUGGGCGUAAAGCGUGCGCAGGCGGUUUUGUAAGACAGGCGUGAAAUCCCCGGGCUCAACCUGGGAAUGGCGCUUGUGACUGCAAAGCUGGAGUGCGGCAGAGGGGGAUGGAAUUCCGCGUGUAGCAGUGAAAUGCGUAGAUAUGCGGAGGAACACCGAUGGCGAAGGCAAUCCCCUGGGCCUGCACUGACGCUCAU
rnacentral:rRNA from 1 species